GUGCCAUAUAAUAUUUCAUUUUCUGGAUAUACCCCACUUUAUCUGCUUGCUACUGAAGGGCAUCCUGAUUGCUUCCAAGUUUAGGCAAUUAUGAAUAACGCUGCUAUAAACAUCCAGUCCUGCAGUUGGAAAAAUCCAAGAUCAUGGCACUGGCAGGUUUUGUGCUGCUGAGGGCCUGCUAUUCACUUACAAGAUGGUGGCUUGAGUGCUGCAUUCCCCAGAUUACAGGAAUAGUGUUCCUCACAUAGCAGAAGAGAAAGAUAAAUGAACCCACUCUUGCAAGCCCAAUUUUAUUUUGUUUUGUUUGUUUGUUUUUGAGACAAGGUCUCACUUGGUCACCCUGGAGGUUCAAGUGCAGUGGCACAAUUGCUUCUCACUGUAACCUCUGCUUCCUCUGCUCAAGUGAUCAUCCCACCUCAGCCUCCGAGUACCUGGAACUACAGGGAACGACUACCACCAUGCUUGUCUAAUUUUUGUUUGUUUUUUGCUGGAGAAUGGCUUUUACCCUGUUAGCCAGGCUGGUCUCAAACUCCCUGGCUCAAGCGAUCUACCUGCCUGAGCCUUCCAAAAUGCAUGGAUUAUAGGCAUGAUCUACUGCAUCUAGCCACAAGCCCAUUUUAUAAUAGCAUUAUUCCAUUCAGCCAAAGCCCUUGUGAGCUAAACUCUUAUUCUUAGGUCCCAAAUUCUAAGACCAUUGGAUUAGGGAUCAAGUCUAACACAUGAAAUUUAAGGGAGACAAAAGCAUUCAAACCACAGCGCUUUUUUGUCUGUAUGUAAUUGUUCAAGAAAGUUAAGAAAAAGUUUUUUUCAUUAAGAACUCUCAAGACAGUAAAAACAGAGAAACAAAAACAGAACAAGGGUAGCUGAGACUAAACCAGGAAGACAACAUCAAGGAAGCCACAGUAGUUCAGAGAACUAAAACAUGGAUUCAAGAUUUAUAGAAGAUUCAAAAUUAAAAAAAAAAAGGGCUUGGCAAAUUUAUAAAGAUUGAAUAGGUAUGUAAUUAAUCUAAGGUACUUUCUUCAUGACCCGAAUGGUGAUGAUAUUAAUAAUACCAGAAAACACUUACGUAGCAUUUAGUAUGAACAGUGUUUUCAAGAUCAUUUAAUUCUUGCAACAAUUCUGUGUAGCAAAUAAUAUGAUUUUUUUAUAGAAGAUGAUAGUAGUGACAAGGGAAGCAUGAUGCCUGAUGAUAUACUGCACUGGAAUCUUCCAUGGAGUAAAAUAUUGUGUGUAAAUAAACAAAAAUAUUUGAGUUACUUGUUUUAUUCAAUGCCUUAGUGUUAUAUAAUAUCUUAACAAUGGAAAACAAAAAUUCUAUAAUUAAGAUAAAUUUUAGUGCUUCAUAGAUAGAAUUAUUAUUCAAAAGAUUAAUACAAUAGUGUAUUGGCCAAAUACAACCUCCAUUGCAAAGUAGUGAGAACAAACACGUGCAGAAAAACUAACACUUUACCCACAUAUAUUGGUUUGGAUUUUUUUCAGAAAGUUUAAUUUUAUAUAAAUAUUUUACCACUUUAUAUUAGUUUGGUCCAAAAGUAACUGUGGUUUUGCUAAUAAGUAUGAAUUUUCAAUCAAGUAUUUGGGAGGAAUGUUAGAUUCUGCAACUGAUGCUUUAUAGGGAAAAUAGUUACUGGCAUAGAAGAACAAAAACUCUAUUUUAAAGUUAACCCAUAUGUCUGACUCUUCAGAAAAUUUUUACUACUGCACUGACAGAUUAAGUUUCUUUCGUGUUGGGGGCUGUAGGGAAAAGAAUCAUAAAAUUUUUACAGAUUUAUUUCCUUUCCAGAUUCUAUUUGCAAAGCAAGACUCACAAAAGUUUUUUUAAUAUAGAUUUAAGUUUUCCAUGAUAGUGGGAAAGUUUUCAAGAUAACUCUAUACAUAAGCUCCUAAAUCUUCUGAGUCUCUGCUAGACAUGAAAAAAAGUACAUUGUCUUUCACUUCCUUCUGUGCUAAGAAUUUAGGCUACAAAGAAAAUUUAAAGGCAAAAUCCUUAUGUGAACUUAUUCAUUCUAUAUAAUUGUUAGACUUCAUUUUGUCUAAUUAUUAUUAAUCAUUUAAUAAAAGCAGAUGGGGAUAAAA